GACGAACGCUGGCGGCGUGCUUAACACAUGCAAGUCGAACGGAAAGGCCCUGCUUGCAGGGUACUCGAGUGGCGAACGGGUGAGUAACACGUGGGUGAUCUGCCCUGCACUUCGGGAUAAGCUUGGGAAACUGGGUCUAAUACCGGAUAGGAACCAUCUUUAGUGUGGUGGUUGGAAAGUUUUUUCGGUGUAGGAUGAGCUCGCGGCCUAUCAGCUUGUUGGUGGGGUAAUGGCCUACCAAGGCGGCGACGGGUAGCCGGCCUGAGAGGGUGUACGGCCACAUUGGGACUGAGAUACGGCCCAGACUCCUACGGGAGGCAGCAGUGGGGAAUAUUGCACAAUGGGCGCAAGCCUGAUGCAGCGACGCCGCGGGGGGGAGGAAGGCCUUCGGGUUGUAAACGCCUUUCGCUAGGGACGAAGCUUUUUGUGACGGUACCUAGAUAAGAAGCACCGGCUAACUACGUG
rnacentral:rRNA from 1 species